UAAAAUAUACAUUUUUCAUCUUUUCAAAGGUUUUAAUUUUAGGGCCCAUGAGGGCAGAGACUUACAACCAGUUGACCAGACUGGAAAGUUUGGAAAUUGCGCGCCGGAGAUUUCGAAAAUUUAAUAGUAAAUAUAUAGAAAGCAUCAAAAUUGCGCGCCGGAGAUAUCCGCCGCGCGAUACAAACUUUCCACACUGGUCACCGGGUGGUUUUAUAUUUAGUAUUGAUAUUUUGAUGUUCUAAGGCCAAAAAAAAAAUAUGUGGGUUUCCGGUUUCUUCUUAUAAAAACUUAGGUAGGGUAGGUCGGUUUUAACUUUUUUUUUAAACUUUUUUUUUAAUUUUCCUAACAAGCGGACGCCAUUUUGUUUAGUCAGUGCUUCCACAUCCAAAGAUAAAUUUCCCUAAUAUUGCCUCAAAUUUCAAUUUUCCACAAACUUUUUCCUCUAAGUGGAAACACUUACAAGCAUGAUCCAAUAAAAAAGUUUAGGGUCAGGAUUUCGACGUCCAAACGCUAGGUAGGGUCGGGAAACCGGAAACCCACAUAUUUUUUUUUUUGGCCUAACCAUUUUUUCAUAUCUUAUUUUGGUGAGAGCGAAAGUGCGGUUCAAUCCUGUGUGGAAUCCUGUGGUAGCUUCACACUAGUAUUUUUAUGCUGCGUAGCGGUGUCUCAGUGUUCCAGACCUUCCCAUGAUGCAACGAGGGCC